rnacentral:misc_RNA from 1 species
GAAAUGCGAUACGUAAUGCGAAUUGCAGAAUCCGUGAAUCAUCAAAUCUUUGAACGCACAUUGCACUUCCAGGUUGACUGGAAGUAUUCCUGUUUCAGUGUCUGUUCACCCCUCUCACUGAAUUUCUCAGUGGACUUUGGGUCUUCGAAUUUACGUGUUUGAACAUGUUGACCUUAAGCGUGAUAUGUAUGAACUUAUCCAAACUAUCAGGAUAAUGAAACAUGGAAUUGUUCAUUCAAUUUUAUCAACAAUCAGACCUGAAAUCAGGAAAGGAAACCCCCUGAAUUUAA